rnacentral:rRNA from 1 species
UACGUAGGGUGCGAGCGUUAAUCGGAAUUACUGGGCGUAAAGCGUGCGCAGGCGGUUUGGAAAGAAAGGUGUGAAAUCCCAGAGCUUAACUUUGGAACUGCACUUUUAACUGCCAAGCUAGAGUAUGUCAGAGGGGGGUAGAAUUCCACGUGUAGCAGUGAAAUGCGUAGAGAUGUGGAGGAAUACCGAUGGCGAAGGCAGCCCCCUGGGAUAAUACUGACGCUCAUGCACGAAAGCGUGGGGAGCAAAC